GCCUGGAUAGUUUAUUUAAAAUAAUAAUUUGUGGAGUUAUAGAUGUAAUUUACUCUGGGCC
rnacentral:tRNA from 1 species